rnacentral:sRNA from 1 species
AUGUACCACUUGUACAUUGCGGUUUCUGCGCUCCGCGCGCACCCGGCUAACAACCGCUCGCUACGUUCUGUUGGCC